rnacentral:lncRNA from 1 species
GAGGCAAGGCUGUCCUGCUGAGAAGAGAUUCUAAAUCCAGCUGGAAAAUGUCCCUCAGCAGGACCCACAGAGGAUAACAUUGAGAAAGGCAGUUUGACCUCCAGGUGGAGAGGGACAAGGCCUACUGUGUGAAGAAGAUGGUGGCCUCAUUCCCCUGCAGCUACCAGCUCCACAAGACAGGACAGUGUCCCCAAGAUGUACGUCUCAGCCAGGACCCCCAGAGCAGCCAGAAAGAGAUUGAGAGAAGCACACAGCCCCUCCCCAAGAUCCAGCACCCCCAUAUCACAGAAGGCUGCAGCUGUGGUUCUGUGGAGGAAAAGCAGGGCCCGAGAGUCCAGUCUCUCCUGGCAGUCAGUGCCCUUCCUGGGAUUCAAGAGAGAAACUUCCUUUUCCGCAGUCUAAUGUGGAAAAUGUCAGCCACCACACCUGGCCUGCCACACUUCCUUGAUGCUAUUGACAUUUAUAAUAGCAAGCAGGUUUUCUCCCUUUGGGUCAGGAGAUCAGAGUUCUUUGUUGGGAUUGAAAGCAUGAACGUGUCAUUUGAUGGGGCUUUGGACAGUGGUCAUGACAUGAAGAAUUAGGAAGCCAUAGGCUGGGAGGCAAGCACAGGAACAUGACCUGCAGAGGAAGGCCCAUGCACCUGCCACCAGGCAUCGAAGACCUCAAGGCCAUUCUCCGGUGAACCCAGAGGUGACAGACUGAACAGUGAAUUGCCAAGACCGAGGG